rnacentral:lncRNA from 1 species
GUUCCAAAACCAAGGUUUAUUCAGCUGUGUAGCUGUAGAAACUCAUGCUAUCCGGGAGAAAUCUGAUCUGAGCCCAAGAACAAAAGGCAGAUAAUGAGCAUGUGAGCAGCUGUACAUUUCGAUUCCCAAAAGUCUCUUUGAGGAUAAAGAACUAGUUUUUAUAACAUAUUUCAGCCAACAUCAUGCAAUAUCUGUGAUUGGACUGGUUUCUCUGGCACCAACAAGCCAAAUUAUGGGUUUGUAUCACUAUCUUUUCCAUCAAUAAAUAUUUCUUUGAUUCAAUUCUAUUGGAAGCACUGCAUUUGCUUAUAACACCCAUCAUUCAUUAAGUGCCUGCUGUGAGCUGGCCACUGCACAUAGUUUUCAAAACUUUUCAUUUUAAAGUAAUUUUAGAUUUGCAAAAGAGUUGCAAGAUAGUAGAGAGUCUCUGUAUGCCUUUCACCCAGCUUCCCCUAAUGUUUAUACCUUAUGUAACUGUGGUACAAUAUUCUAAACUAAGAAAUUAAUGUUGGUAAAAUACUAUUCAAUAAAUUAGAAGGCAUAUUUUGAUUUCUUUCUUUUUAAGAUUUUAUUUGUUCAUGAGAGACACACAGAGAGAGGCAGAGACAUAGGCAGAGGGAGAAGCAGGCUCCCUGCUAGGAGCCUGAUGUGGGACUUGAUCCCAGGAUCUGGGAUCAUGACCUAAGCCAAAGGCAGAUGCUCAACCACUGAGCCACUCAGAUGCCCCAUAUUUUGUUUCUUUAGUGUUUCUACUAAUGGUUUUGUUUCUUCCUCUCCUGUUACAUGAUCUGAUCCAGGAUCCUGCACAGCAUUUCUUUGUUAUGUCUCCUCAGUAUCUUCCCAUCUCUGAUGGUUCCUCAGGUUUUGUCUCUCAUGAUUUGGUAUUUGUUUAGAGUACUUGGCAGGUAUGUUGUAGAAUGCCCUUCAGUGCUUGAGUUUGAUGUUUUUCAUUUGAUUAUGCUGAGCUUGUGGAUUUGGGGAAAGAAUAUCACAGGUCAUAUGCCCUUCUCAUUUGGAAGUACACGAUAUAGAUGUGUUUUAUCAUAGGUGACGUCAAUCUUGAUCACCUGGCUAAGGUGGAAUCUACCAGGUUUCUGCAAAAUAGAGUUACUAUUUUUCCCUUUCCGUACACAUAGUGUUACAGGAUAGCAGGGUUCUUGUCUCACAGAGUUGAAGAACGAAUCUCAUGGACACAAAAGGGUGAAGUGAGUUUAUUCAGUGAAGGUGAGAACAGAAAGGAAAGAAAAAAGCUCUCUAGAGUGAAGAGGGGUCCUGAAUGGGUUGCCACUGUGGCUUUCGCUGGCAGUCUUUUAUUGAGAACUGACUAGAGGACUUAAAUCUGAGAGCACUACGUUUACCUUUACUUUGAAGUUUGAUAAUUUUCAGUGGUCCAGCUGUAGCUCUUAGAGAGAUAUCUUGUCUCUGAAAAGGUAGUCUCAUUGUCUCUUAUAUUCUCUUAUCUCUGGUUUUGUAUGCCUUAGCAUUUCCCACACCUGGGAUUUCUGUGCGUCUGAACACAUAACCCCUGCAUGAGCCUAGUCAUUAGCCCCCUACCUAUCUCUCCCUACCUAGCCCCAUCUGUCCCUUACUCACUAGGAUACAUAUUUUUUAUUUUUUAAAAUAUUUUAUUUAUUCAUGAGAGACACACACAGAGAGAGAGGCAGAGACACAGGCAGAGGGAGAAGCAGGCUCCAUGCAGGGAGCCCAAUGUGGGAUUCGAUCUCAGAACUCUGGGAUCAUGUCCUGAGCCAAAGGCAGACACUCAACUACUGAGCCACCUAGGUGUCCCCUAUUUUUUUUUUCUUCAGUAGGCUCCACACUGGACACUUGAACUCAUGACCCAGAGAUCAAGAACUGAACUGAGAUCAAGAGUUGGACACUUAAUUGACUGAGCCAUCCAGGCGCUCCCACAUAGAAUAGUUUAAAUCUGUAUUAUCACCUUGUGGGUUUGAUUAAUCCUAUUUUACAUGAGGAAACUUGAGAUAUCUGCUAUAAUUUUACAGCGAGGUCAUGGAAAGCUCACAAAAUUUUAGAAAUUAUCUCACAAAUGAGAAAACCAAGGCCUGGAGAGAUUAAAUGACAUGGCCAAGAUCCCUCAGUCAGUUUGUGGAGAACCAAACUAGACCCCAGGUUUUCUGAUUUCC